AUCGAAACCUACAAGCCCAAAUAUCCCAAGGCCGCACUGUGCCUGGGCAAGGACCAGGAGGCGCUGAUGGCUUUUUAUGACUUCCCGGCACCACACUGGCAGCAUCUGAGGACGACCAACCCGAUCGAAUCGACCUUUGCGACCAUCCGCCAUCGUACCGUUCGCAGCAAAGGCUGUGUGACCCGGGACAGCAUGCUGCACAUGAUGUUCAAGCUUGGCAUCUGUGCCGAGAAGACAUGGAGACGAUUACGCGGUUUCGAUUAUCUCGCCAAGGUCAUUGACGGAGUGAAGUUCGUCAAUGGAGAAGAGGUUCAGCAACCCGACCAGGUCGCCGCUUGAAUCAGGCCUCUGAACACCAGAAUUGACAAUAACUCAAACUGCGGAUGCAAGCUUGCUUGCAUGGUAGGGGAGCGUUCUGUAGGCCUGCGAAGGUGUGCCGUGAGGCAUGCUGGAGGUAUCAGAAGUGCGAAUGCUGACAUGAGUAACGAUAAAGGGGGUGAAAGACCCCCUCGCCGGAAGUCCAAGGUUUCCUGCGCAACGCUAAUCGGCGCAGGGUUAGUCGGGUCCUAAGAUGAGGCCGAAAGGCGUAAUCGAUGGCAAACAGGUUAAUAUUCCUGUACCGCGUCUAACUGCGAUGGGGUGACGGAGAAGGCUAGACCAGCCGGGUGUUGGAUGUCCCGGCUUAAUCGAGUAGGGAGUACUCUUAGGUAAAUCCGGGGGUGCAAUUCCGAGACGUGACGACGAGGUUUCUUUUGAAACCGAAGUGGUUGAUGCCAUGCUUCCAGGAAAAACCUCUAAGCUUCAGGUUAGACGUGUCCGUACCCCAAACCGACACAGGUGGACAGGGCGAGAAGCCCAAGGCGCUUGAGACAACUCGGGUGAAGGAACUCGGCAAAAUGACACCGUAACUUCGGGAGAAGGUGUACCCUCAUUACGUGAAGGCCCUCGCGGCCCGAGCGGAAGGGGGUUGCAACAAAGAGGUGGCUGCGACUGUUUAUUAAAAACACAGCACUCUGCAAACUCGUAAGAGGACGUAUAGGGUGUGACGCCUGCCCGGUGCCGGAAGGUUAAUUGAUGGGGUUAGUCUUCGGACGAAGCUCUUGAUCGAAGCCCCGGUGAACGGCGGCCGUAACUAUAACGGUCCUAAGGUAGCGAAAUUCCUUGUCGGGUAAGUUCCGACCUGCACGAAUGGCGUAACGAUGGCCACACUGUCUCCACCCGGGACUCAGUGAAAUCGAAAUUGCUGUGAAGAUGCAGUGUACCCACACCAAGACGGAAAGACCCCGUGCACCUUUACUACAACUUCACACUGGACUUUGAACAUGGCUGUGUAGGAUAGGUGGGAGGCUUUGAAGCUGGGACGCUAGUUCUGGUGGAGCCAACCUUGAAAUACCACCCUGUUAUGUCUGGGGCCCUAACCGAGAUCCGUUAUCCGGACCCGGAACAGUGUGUGGUGGGUAGUUUGACUGGGGCGGUCUCCUCCUAAAGAGUAACGGAGGAGCACGAAGGUUGGCUAAUCCUGGUCGGACAUCAGGAGGUUAGUGCAAUGGCAUAAGCCAGCUUGACUGCGAGCGUGACGGCGCGAGCAGGUGCGAAAGCAGGUCAUAGUGAUCCGGUGGUUCUGAAUGGAAGGGCCAUCGCUCAACGGAUAAAAGGUACUCCGGGGAUAACAGGCUGAUACCGCCCAAGAGUUCAUAUCGACGGCGGUGUUUGGCACCUCGAUGUCGGCUCAUCACAUCCUGGGGCUGAAGU
rnacentral:rRNA from 1 species